rnacentral:tRNA from 1 species
GCUGAUAUGGCCGAGUCGUUAAGGCGAAUGAUUUGAAAUCAUUUGGGCAUUGCCCGCGUAGGUUCAAAUCCUGCUGUCAGCG